AAGUGAUGGUCAAACCCUUCAGUGGAGUCUAUCUGGAUCACACGUGCCACAGCAUGGACAUGAGGACAUCUGCUCCAUUCCUGGUCCUGGUGAUGCUCUGGCUCACAAAUGCCAGAUGUGACAUCCAAGUUACCCAGUCUCCAACCUCCUUGUCUGCAUCUUUGGGAGACAGAGUCACCAUCACUUGUAGAACAAGCCAGGAUAUUAGCAAGUAUAUGGCUUGGUACCAACAGAAACCAGGGGAAGCUCUUAAGCUCCUGAUCUAUUACGCAUCCACUUUGCAAUCAGGAGUUCCCUCAAGGUUCAGUGGCAGUGGGUCUGGGACAGAUUAUUCCUUUUCCAUCACCAACCUGGAGCCUGAAGAUAUUGCAACUUAUUACUGUCAGCAAGGUGCUAACUUGUACCACAGUGAUACAAACAUUGACAAAAACCACCACUCAUAA